rnacentral:rRNA from 8 species
ACGGGUGAGUAACGCGUGGGAACAUACCCAACUCUACGGAAUAACUCAGGGAAACUUGUGCUAAUACCGUAUACGCCCUUCGGGGGAAAGAUUUAUCGGAGUUGGAUUGGCCCGCGUUGGAUUAGCUAGUUGGUGGGGUAAAGGCCUACCAAGGCGACGAUCCAUAGCUGGUCUGAGAGGAUGAUCAGCCACAUUGGGACUGAGACACGGCCCAAACUCCUACGGGAGGCAGCAGUGGGGAAUAUUGGACAAUGGGCGCAAGCCUGAUCCAGCCAUGCCGCGUGUGUGAUGAAGGCCUUAGGGUUGUAAAGCACUUUCACCGGAGAAGAUAAUGACGGUAUCCGGAGAAGAAGCCCCGGCUAACUUCGUGCCAGCAGCCGCGGUAAUACGAAGGGGGCUAGCGUUGUUCGGAAUUACUGGGCGUAAAGCGCACGUAGGCGGAUCGAUCAGUCAGGGGUGAAAUCCCAGAGCUCAACUCUGGAACUGCCUUUGAUACUGUCGAUCUAGAGUAUGGAAGAGGUGAGUGGAAUUCCGAGUGUAGAGGUGAAAUUCGUAGA